rnacentral:rRNA from 1 species
CGCCUUGCCAGCCCGCUCAAGAAACUUAAAGGAAUUGACGGGGCCCGCACAAGCGGAGGAGCAUGUGGUUUAAUUCGAUGAUACGCGAGGAACCUUACCUGGGCUCGAACGUAAGAUGACUGUAGGUGAAAGCUUACAUCUCUUCGGAGCAUUUUACGAGGUGCUGCAUGGUUGUCGUCAGCUCGUGCCGUGAGGUGUCGGGUUAAGUCCCAUAACGAGCGCAACCCCUACCUUUAGUUGCCAUCAGGUAAUGCUGGGGACUCUAAAGGAACUGCCUACGCAAGUAGUGAGGAAGGCGGGGAUGACGUCAAAUCAGCACGGCCCUUACGUCCAGGGCUACACACGUGCUACAAUGGCCGAUACAGAGGGCAGCUACCUGGUGACAGGAUGCAAAUCUCCAAAGUCGGUCUCAGUUCGGAUCGGAGUCUGCAACCCGACUCCGUGAAGUUGGAUUCGCUAGUAAUCGCGCAUCAGCCAUGGCGCGGUGAAUACGUUCCCGGGCCUU